CCCAGCUAGUCAUGCUAGAGCACUUUUUUUAAUGUGCUCCCCAACGAGAAGGCGAAGAUUGACGAUAUCAAUCCAUAUAAACUUUCGAUGCCAUUGACUGCGCCUACCAUGGUGACCAUGGGUAAUGGGGAAUCAGGUUUCCAUUCAGUACAGGGACCCUGACAACGACUAUCACAUGCAAGGAAGGCAGCAGGCGCGCAAAUGACCCACUCCCGACGCAGGAUGGUAGUGACG